rnacentral:rRNA from 1 species
CUUCCGUAGGGGAACCUGCGGAAGGAUCAUUGUUGAACCUCUGCUCAUGCAAAUAUGACCCGCGAAUAAG